CGUGCGCCGCCAUGUUGCCUUGGAUUUCGCUUACUAUUGAUGCCUGCUCCAGCAAGCAUGACGAGGAGCCAUUCGUCGGCAAAUACGACGGCUGUCCAGACCAUGAGGACAUCUGUGAGACACGAUGCCGCAUCCUGAUGAAUGCUAAAGGUCACUGCGACCACGUCUACCCCAAGAGGUGCCUGUGCAGCUGAGACGCAAGCAGAAGUUCUUCGGCAUUUGCCCACCCCCAUUUUCCAUUAAAACUUUACUCAAC